rnacentral:rRNA from 1 species
AAAAAUAGGCCUCAUCGU